AACUCAGGAGACAAUAGAGCUGGCUGACAGAGGAACACCUCCAGUAGCAUUCACUGUGUGCUUACCCUGUGAGUUUGAUUUGUUUAAAUUGUUACACACCUAAUUUUUGACUUAUUAUCCUGACUUAUAUUUCAUUUUAAGGAUGUUUCUUAGUUUACAUGUAUUCGACUCAUUUUAGUUACUUUGCUCUGAUAUUAUUAUGGAAAUUACAAUAUUGAUCCUGUUUGUAUUCAAUUUAAUUUGCUUUGUUAUUCCUUUCUCACCCUCUCUAGAGAAACCAGCUGAAUGCAUGCUAAACUCUAAACUCUGGAUUGGAACUCCUGCCCAUGUGCUUAUUUGUCCUUCCAGACAAUCCAUUGCAUUGAGAUCCACCUUAGAUCAGCAUAAUCCUCAAUCCUUGAAUGGAAUUAUGGAAAUAAACUUUU